AUGAGGACACUGAAACCAGAGACACAUUUUCCUGGGGAACGUUCUAGACUUCAAAAUGUUGGCAUUUUGGGGGCUGCCUCUCAGCGAGUUGACUACUGCUGACCUCUAAUGGCAAGCCAAGCCCAGUGCCCUCCGGGACUCCUCAGUAGGCUGGAGAACACCCACAGGAUAAUGCAAAUAGAAGCGUCCGUGCUCAGCACUCCUCAGUCCACCUGGUUAGCUACAGAGCAACAAUGUCAUCUGCAGGGUUUCUACACAGGACUCCAGCUCCUAAUGAAGAGGGGAAAAAUGUUUCCCACGGCAGUGGAGCUGUGCAUGGUCCCAGAUCAAGGGCUCUUUUCAGGUUGCCUGAAGUUCUUCAAGAGCAAGAAACAGUUUGGAAUUAAGGGUACCAAAUCUUGUGAGACAUUUUGUUUUGUGUUUUUUUAA
rnacentral:lncRNA from 1 species